UACGGGGGGGGCAAGCGUUGUUCGGAAUUACUGGGCGUAAAGGGUUCGUAGGUGGCCUGCUAAGUCAGACGUGAAAUCCCUCAGCUUAACUGGGGAACUGCGUCUGAGACUGGUGGGCUUGAGGGCAGGAGAGGAACGUGGAAUUCCAGGUGUAGCGGUGAAAUGCGUAGAUAUCUGGAGGAACACCGGUGGCGAAGGCGGCGUUCUGGACUGCAUCUGACACUGAGGAACGAAAGCCAGGGGAGCAAACGGG
rnacentral:rRNA from 1 species